AUAUAAUCACAAUUAAACAUUUAUUUCACUUAAUUUUAGAUAACAAUGAAAUACUGUGUGCCAUAAGGAGGUAUUUGACUGGACUGACGACUGAAUAUGAGUCUAGUUAGGCAAUAAAAAUAAAAGGAAAGAAAGAAGGAAACAAGCAGGCAAGAGAACAGGGGUCUUUAGAAAGCCCUAAAGCUGAUAAGAAAUUGUAUGGCCCCAAUGAUCACAGGGUAUAUAAUUUUACACCCACUCUUUUAAUAUAGAUACAAAUAAAUCAAAAUUGUAAAUUAAUUGUGUUUAACAGCAUUAAACAAACACCACAUUUAAAAAUUCCAGUACACUGGGAAUAUACUGAUCCGUAACUCAUAGUGACAGAAAAGAUAAACAGGCCCCCUGACAACAUAAAACACUUCCCAAGGUAUCCCACAAUGCAGACUUGAAGAUGAAAACAACUGAAAGCUCAUCUUUACUUCAGUUUUGACUCUAACACAGACUUGCUAUUAAGCACAUCGCUCUUGCCUCCGCUGCUGCCUAAACAAAGUGUUUGAGUUAGAAGAGCCUGAAAAGAUGUGCCUGUAAGGCAAACUUUUACUUUCUAAAAGUAAAUCUCUCUCAAUACUUCCAGCUGGAAAACGUCCACUUCAGCUACCUGACACCAGGACGUCACUUUCUCCCCUGGGCUUACCUGCUACUACUUAAGUAUUCUUCCAAGUAGACUCUGGACAAGUUGGGAGGUAGCUCUUUAAGCACUCCUGAUCCACGCUGACUACAAAUACACACACCUGACACAUUCCCACAGGUCCCUAGUACCCUUUCCUCCUCCACCCUCCUCCACCCUCCUCUGAGAACUCACCCAGGCCAUUUAGCGCACCUCCCAGGGCCAAAGCCUGCCCACCUGGGAGCGAAGAGUACUCCAUUAGUAGUCCUCAAGAUCAAGAAACUUACUGGAUUUUAACAUGUGAGCCGUUUUAUAAUUGUGAAUUGUGCUUAAAUUUCAACUGACUUGGAGAAAUCGCUGGGAGAGAGGUAAGGGGGUGUUUUUACAUUAUUAUUUUUUUCCAGUUAGAAAUGCUAUCUUCAAAAUUGUGUUACUCACUUCAAAUA
rnacentral:lncRNA from 1 species